rnacentral:rRNA from 1 species
CAGUAGCCACGGUAAUACGGAGGGUGCAAGCGUUAAUCGGAAUUACUGGGCGUAAAGCGCACGCAGGCGGUCUGACAAGUCAGAUGUGAAAUCCCCGGGCUUAACCUGGGAACUGCAUUUGAAACUGUCAGGCUGGAGUCUUGAGAGGGGGGUGGAAUUCCAGGUGUAGCGGUGAAAUGCGUAGAGAUCUGGAGGAAUACCGGUGGCGAAGGCGGCCCCCUGGACAAAGACUGACGCUCAGGUGCGAAAGCGUGGGGAGCAAACAGGAUUAGAUACCCCGGUAGUCCCUGUCUCUUAUACA